GACGAACGCUGGCGGCGUGCCUAACACAUGCAAGUCGAACGAGUGGCGAAGGGGUGAGUAAGACGGUGAUGAUCUGCCUUGCAAUUCGGGAUAAGCGUGGGAAACUGGGUCUAAUACGGGAUAGUGCAAGAUGAGAUCGCGGCUUAUUAGCUCGUUGGUGGUGUAAUGGUUACCAAGGCGCGACGGGCAGCGGGCCUGAGAGUGUGUACGGCCACAGUGGGACUGGGAUACGGGCCAGAGUCCUACGGGAGGCAGCGGGGGGGAAUAUUGCGCAAAGGGCGGAAGCAGUAAGCAGGGACGCCGCGUGGGAGAUGAAGGCCUUCGGGUUGUAAACUCCUUGCGACUGGGACGCGGUACCUGUAUAAGAAGCACCGGCUAACUACGUGCCAGCAGCCGCGGUAAUUC
rnacentral:rRNA from 1 species